UUCCGGUUGAACCUGCUUGAACCGCUGCUAUUGCGAUUCGACUAACCCCUGCGAUUUGAGAGGGUUCGGCCCUCGGCUGACGGUUCUCCACCACCGGGAUAUUCUACCCUUAGGUGGAGGAUAUUCUCGGCAAACUGAAAAUAAUACUCCAUAAAUCUAGGAGGUUGGACUGCGUCUAAAUUGAAAACUCUGUCGCCUAAGGAUGACUCGGCUUACUCCCUCGUUGUAGUCAAGGUAAUGACCUGACUACCCUACAACGGAUACGGCUUGUGAGAUCAAUAACCCGAAAAUGAAAUCUGAAACACCAUUUCACGCCCUCCGGGCCGCAGCAGGGGCGAAACCUUCAAAUUGCACGAAAGCGCGAUGAGGAAUUCCCAAGUGCUUGCCCGUACGUGUAACCUGUUUUUAUGUUUAAAAGCAUGGAAAGUAAAAGCUGGGUAAAACGGGGGCCACCCGCCGCUGUAAUACCUGCAACUCUAGUGGUGGCCACUAUUAUUGGGCCUAAAACGUCCGUACCCGGUUUAUUAAAUGCCUGGGAAAACCCUAUGGCUCAACCAUACGAAUUCCGGGUAUACUGAUAUGCUUGGGACCGGGAGAACCUAGAGGUACUCAUGGGGUAAAGGUGAAAUUCUGUAAUCCUAGGGGGACCACCAGUGGCGAAGGCGUCUAGCUAGUACGGUUUUGACGGCGAGGGACGAAGGCCUGGGAACCUAACGGGAUUAGAUAUCCCGGUAGUCCAGGGUGUAACCGCUGCUAGCUUGAUGUUAGUCGGCUCCCUACCCCGAUUAUAGUCGCAGAGAAGUUGUAAACUGUGCUGCUGGAAAUGUACCGCCGCACGACUGUAUCUAAAUGAAUUGGCGGGGGAGCUCUGCAACAGGCGGAGCGUGUGGUUUAUUUGGAUUCCACGCGGG
rnacentral:rRNA from 1 species